rnacentral:rRNA from 1 species
ACGGAAGGCAGCAGCUAAGAAUAUUCCGCAAUGGGCGAAAGCCUGACGGAGCGACGCCGCGUGGACGAUGAAGGCCGGAAGGUUGUAAAGUCCUUUUGUGAGUGAGGAAUAAGCACGGCAGGGAAUGGCCGUGCGGUGACUGUAGCUCAUGAAUAAGCACCGGCUAAUUACGUGCCAGCAGCCGCGGUAACACGUAAGGUGCAAGCGUUGUUCGGAAUUAUUGGGCGUAAAGGGCAUGUAGGCGGUCGUGCAAGUCCAGAGUGAAAUUCCGGGGCUCAACUCCGGAGCUGCUCUGGAAACUGCAUGACUUGAGUCAGUGAGGCGAGACCGGAAUUCCUGGUGUAGGGGUGAAAUCUGUAGAUAUCAGGAAGAACACCGGUGGCGAAGGCAGGUCUCGAGCGCAUGACUGACGCUGAGGUGCGAAGGUGCGGGGAGCAAACAGGAUUAGAUACCCUGGUA